CUUAUACUCCCUUCGUCCGGAAAUACUUGUCAUAGAAAUAGAUGUAUCUAGACUUAUUUUAGUUAUAGAUACUUUCAUUUUAUACAUUUCUAGAACAAGUAUUUCCAGACGGAGGGAGUAUUUA
rfam:Hordeum vulgare subsp. vulgare, WGS project CAJW01000000 data, contig: morex_contig_1938516